GAAGAGCAAAGGCAAAACCGCAGAAAUGCGGCGACGCAAAACCACGGGUCUACAGCCGAAAGGCCAUGAUCGCCGGGUUGCCGAA
rnacentral:ncRNA from 1 species